rnacentral:snRNA from 1 species
GUCUUUGCGCAGAGGCAGUAACAUAGCUAAUGAGGUUCAAACCGAGGCGUGUUUAUUGCUAAUUGAAAACUAUUCCCAAUACCCCGCCAAGAAAACUUCGAUUUUCUUAGGCAAUAUUUGGUAGCUCAAUAUGAG